UGUACCGUGUAACUGUUCUGGAUCUGCUGUAGGCAUCGCAGUCUUAGCCAUCCUGUUAGCUGUGUCUAUCAUCACCAACGUCAUUCAAUUCAUUGUGUGGAGAAGACAAGAAACAAUAUCAGGUUUUGAAGCAUCAAAGAAACCUGUUCCUAGAGAAAAAAGAUGCGUAUCCCAUGAGGCGAAUGAGAACAUGGCAUAUGAGAUGAUUCAGACCGGAGAUAGCG